GGGACUGAUUUGGUUUCUACGUAUUGAAUUUUUUUAUUGAUUAUAGUUAACUUCACAAUUUAAUUGUUCUCAGGUAUUUAUUUUGUAAAAGCAAAACAUGAUAUAGUAGUUUUUUCUAAAAAUUUAGUUAAUAUCUAAAAUUUUAAUUUAUUCACUUAUACUUCUCUAGAUAAUUUGAUGUAUUAGAUGAGAUGCUCUUAUUAUAAAUUUUUAAAAUAGUCAUUUAAUGAUUUAAUAAGUUAAGUACAAACAAUCAACAUACUUUUUAGUAUAUAAAACAAUUUGAAAAUUAACUUAAUCUUUUAUAUCAAUACGGACGUGGGUUCGAUUCCCACCAGUUCCA
rnacentral:tmRNA from 1 species